rnacentral:rRNA from 1 species
UACGAAGGGUGCAAACGUUGCUCGGAAUUAUUGGGCGUAAAGCGCACGUAGGCGGCUUGGCAAGUCGGAUGUGAAAUCCCUCGGCUCAACCAAGGAAGUGCAUCCGAAACUGCAGAGCUUGAGUACUUAAGAGGAUCGCGGAAUUCCCGGUGUAGAGGUGAAAUUCGUAGAUAUCGGGAGGAACACCAGUGGCGAAGGCGAUCAUCUGGGGUUGUUCUGACGCUGAGGAGCGAAAGCUAGGGGAGCAAACGGG